AAUCUUCUUAAUUUCUUCUUGUCUUCAGUUGAUUGAUAUAUAUUGAUUUAUAUAUAUAUAUAUAUAUAUAUAUAUAUAUAUAUAUAUAUAUCUAUCAAUCAACUGAAGACAAGAAGAAAUUAAGAAGAUU
rnacentral:miRNA from 1 species